GGGGGGCACAGUAGGGAAUCUUCCACAAUGGACGCAAGUCUGAUGGAGCAACGCCGCGUGAGUGAAGAAGGUUUUCGGAUCGUAAAGCUCUGUUGUUGGUGAAGAAGGAUAGGGAUAGUAACUGAUUCUUAUUUGACGGUAAUCAACCAGAAAGUCACGGCUAACUACGUGCCAGCAGCCGCGGUAAUACGUAGGUGGCAAGCGUUGUCCGGAUUUAUUGGGCGUAAAGCGAACGCAGGCGGGAGAACAAGUCAGCUGUGAAAGCCCUCGGCUUAACCGGGGAAGUGCAGCUGAAACUGUUUUUCUUGAGUGCAGAAGAGGAGAGUGGAACUCCAUGUGUAGCGGUGGAAUGCGUAGAUAUAUGGAAGAACACCAGUGGCGAAGGCGGCUCUCUGGUCUGUAACUGACGCUGAGGUUCGAAAGCAUGGGUAGCGAACAGGAUUAGAUACCCUGGUAGUCCAUGCCGUAAACGAUGAGUGCUAAGUGUUGGGAGGUUUCCGCCUCUCAGUGCUGCAGCUAACGCAUUAAGCACUCCGCCGGGGAGU
rnacentral:rRNA from 1 species